GGAAUUCUAUCAUUAUUACUUGACAAGUACGUAUUUUUUUGAUUUUCCCUAAUAAUUUUUUUUAUUAUCUGUUAUCUUAUCAACUUUUCAUGUCAAAUUUUGAUUGUGAAGAAGGAAGCUGUGUCCAACCUAUUAACAACUGAAUUUAUUCAAGAAAACUCUUCCCUUGGAACCACGUGCAUUAGACUAGAACUAAGAACACAUUUAAGCUCAUGGUUUUAAGUAACGGCUGUUAAAUCUUACAGCAACUAUUACAGCAGCAUCGGAGGCCACCGUUACAGUUUACAUAUUAAGUAUCCUAACAGUGUCAUUAUAAAAUAGGAAGAAUGACCUCAAGUAUUUGGUAGUUUGAUCAAUAAACUAUUCAAAUUUUUGCGCACACAUACUUAUCUAACUGAUACUAACUGUUGUUUCCUAUUAUUAUGGGAAGUAAUUUUCCAUUCAUCAAUUAUAUGAUGGACCAUCUAAGGAUAUAUUUGGCCUACAAUCACAUAAUCAGAUAUGUUUCCAAUACAACUUCUGGUAUUGUCAUUCCCAGUAUUGUAAUUCAUUCAUCUCACUUAUGAUGUUAAUCAAGUGCGCUGAGUCAGCUGUCUUGAUAAUCCUAUUUCUGCCACACCGGUCACAUGCACUUCCUACCUUGCACGGCCUACCAAUUUAGUUCACACAAUUCAUAUUCUCCAAGUAAUGCUCUAUACCACUAGUAAACAUGCAUGCUGGAAAAUAUAUGACGGUAAAUAGAAAAUGAUAGGAAAUAUGAAAAAAUAAAUUAGUAAGAAUAACUCCUCUUUAAAAUUCUUAAAAUUCCAUGUUUCGUAAGUAGUAAAAUGUAAAUUCUUUUAAGAUGGAUUGUUAAUAGAGAAAACUUAUUUGGUAAACAUGGAAAAUUCCCUAGAAUCCUAUGUAGUCUUGCAUUUUCCAAAUCACCUUUUUGAUCAAGAUUAUCUCAACUCAUUUUUAAUUUGAUUGGACAAGAAAGGUUAUCAAUGAGGAUCCAUGAUACAUGUAAAGUAAAUUUCUUAUCUUGGGUACUGAAAAGAGAUUAUUGGUAUUACCUAAGGGCAUAAAAAUUAAUAUUUUGGGUUUUUCAAGAUUAAAUGGCCAGCAUUUUGCGGGGAAUAAAUGACAAAAAAUCAAAAGAUAAUAUUCCUGAAUUUCAGAAUUCUCUUUUGUAAUAUAGCAUAGAUAUUUACGUAUGACAAACUUGACUAGUCUGUUUGAUAAGACCAAGUCAAGUGAUAUCAAAUAAUUCUGUUUCUAUUGCAUGAGGAGCUAUGAACUGACUGUGAAUUGGAUGGCUGUUAAACGAAAACAAGCAAUAAACAAUGUGGCGUGGAAGGUGUUGCAAACCAUCAAUCAACGAUGCAAAAGAAAUCAUAUGUGUGAUAGUUUGAAAUCCAGCAAAUAAAAAUUUUAUGAUAGUCGAAACUGGCAGAGGUUGAGAGCUGCAUUUUAGUGGGGUAAAAUUGUUAUCUGCUUUUUGAUUUUUUGUUAUGUUCUUUUUAUUAUCCUGUAUGCUAUGUGCUAGAUUUUCACAAUGUAGGACUUUGACAAAGUUUAUCAAGUACUUUCUAAAAGUUAACUGGACCUGUUUUAAUCUUUGUAUUUCAUCGCAAAUUCUACCGAUCUCACAUAGUUUUAUUCUUUGUUUGCUAGUUCUUGUAAACUAUACAAGGAUGCUAGAAACUAUGUGGAUGUUCUUUCUCCUUUCCAUAGAGGGAAAUAAAUGGCAUGGAAACUGCCAAGUGAUCUCCUCUUAUUCUACUAAUUCCUUCUUUAAGUAGGAAAUGGCAUUGGAUAGAAGAGAAGUAUCAGACUCUCAUUUCUUGCAUUGAACCUCUUGAAGCUCACAUUAAGCCUAAUGUAAGGUCAAGCAUAAAAUGUAAUAAAUUGAAGAAGCUAGGUUGAUUUUUUAGUCUAGCCUUUUUUUCCCUUAAGUUUUAUAUUUCCACUUAAAAGGAAAGGCACUCAUAUCACUUCUUUGUCCUAGUUUUUGUGCUAGAUCUGCGUUUUCUUCAAAUGCUAACUUUCGCAUAUUUAUUAUUUAGCUUCAGUUUAUAUUUUUAGGUUUAAGAUUAUUUGAAUAACAAUUUCUUGGUGCAGUUAGAACAAUAGCAGUACAUGUCACACCCCAAAACUAGGACAUAACACGGCCAUGUUAUCGAGGGGUACAACCUAAUAUAACAUGAAGCCAACAUUACAUUUAGCUUUCAAAUCCAUCUCAAACAAAAUAUAAUAAAUUAAGUCCAAUUUCAUUAUUCAUUAAAUGCAACCAAUGUUGGUUCAAAGCAUCUAAAUCCAAACAUAAAUACCAACCCAUAAUUCUCAAUAUUCAAAAAAUCAUCAACUACAAAUUCAUAAUUAAUUAAAAUACUAAAAUUUUUUUAUAAAAUCGCUAAGCUUGCUAGCACAACUUAAGGCCAGGACCAUCCUUCGUCCCUACUGACCCUAUUCGUCUGAAGAGAGAAAAAUAAAAAUAGAGAUAUAUGAGCGACACAACUCUAUCUUACCAGAUCAAGCAUAAGUUUUUGCAUGAAUCGAUGCAUCAUAAUGUGAAAAUAACAAUUAUUGCAAGAUAGAACAUUUCAUAGUUUCAUAUGAUAAAGUAAGUUAUAAAGUCAAUCAUGCAUGCAAUGUCAUCAAUAUGUCAUAAACAGGGUUUCAGGUGUACAGUAUAAAUAAAAUUAUAAAUCAUUUACCAUUUAACCAUAUCAUUGAUCAAAUUACUUCUCUUAGACUAAAUGCUAAGGUCACUAUUAUAUCUAUAACAGGGCCGUAAUCGACAAACGCCAACUACUAUUAUCCGUUGGCAGGGUUGUAUGCUAACUAUUAUUAUCCACUGGCAGGGUCGUAUGCCAACUACUUUUACUCGCUGACAGGGUUGUAUGUCAACUACUAUUACCCACCGGCAGGGUCGUAUGGAACUGAAUGUUGAUUUACCCCACUUUUUGGGGUGAUACAUAGCUAUCUGAGAUCCUUUUUAUCAUAGUUCUUAAAAUAAUUUUUUUCUUAAGUCACAUUUCUCCAAAUCAUAUACGAAUAAAAUACUAAAUGGCUUUAUAGAGUCCGUAGUCUAUAAAUAAACUUUUAACAAUAGAUUAAUUAUGAAAUUAUUCUUUUCAUAACAAAAAUAUAAAUUUCGUAAAUAUAUGAAGUUCAUAUUUCAUAAACAAGUCAUUAAGCCUAAAAUAUGAAGGGAACUAUUAUUUUGCAAUAAAUCAUGUGUUUCAUAAUAUCGUAUACUUGAUCAUUGAUUUUAAGAAAACAUGAUAUCAUCAAUAUUUAAUACUAGUUUUGUAUUUUCAUAAUACUAGAAAAUAAGUAAAAAAUUUGAAAAUUAAUAAAGAUUGUUAGGGUUACUUACAAGUUCGAAAAUUAGUAAGGAGUAUAGUACUUACUUACCUCUUCCACCUUAGACCUUCAAACUUCACCAAGCAAACUUGUUAAACUUAUUUAAAAAUAUUAAGAGUAAAAUUAAUUUUCAUUCGAUAGUUUUAAUAGUAUUGAAAUAACAAGACAAAGAGAACGAUUAGUCGGAUGACGGUAGCCUGGUUAGGUCAGGUCCAAGCAACCCGAUCAAUGAAUCAUGGGGUACAGACUCGAUUAGGCUAAAGCUUUGAUAGGAUUCAUCAAUAUUGGAUUUUAUAGGCACUUAAUAGGGUUGGGAUGACCGGUCUCGCGGGCUGCCUAGGCACCAGGGCAGAUCAAGGCCAUUUGCAGGGGUCAACUCAAGUCCAUAGGAUAGGGAGAUAGGACUCGGUUCAUGGAUCCAUGGGUCUUUUUAGAAAGAGAAAGAGGAAGAUGAGAGAGAAAGCAUAGAGAGAAAAUAUGAGAGAGAAAGAGAGGGAUGGUUUGUACCAAAAAAAGAGAGAGAGGGAUGGUUCUCUCUCCUCUUCCUCCCCUUCUUCUUUUCUUCUUUCUUUCUUUUUCUUGGCAAAAUAAAGGAUGAAGAAGGCUUUGUCUGGUGGCUGACAUGGUGGUCUAGCAAGGUGGCAGCAGGCGGUGGAGACAUGAGGCGAAGGGCGGUCGGCCGGCCAAAAUCAACAAAAAUAGGGGUUCCGAUCCCUUAAACCGUCGGCCGGAGUUUCGGCCAUUGCUUCUACUCAUUAUGGAAAGUCGAGGGAAGACUCCGGCGAUAAGCAUCAGCAACAAACAACAACUGAAAAAAGAAAAGAAAGGCAUUACCCUUUUUGGCUAAAAUCCGGCGAUCACUAGCCGGAAUCGAAGCUCCAAACAAUCCGGAAGGAAGAGGAGAGGAAUAGCUCGACAAUGGUAGGUUUCUUACUGGCCGCACGGAUGGUGCAAAGCCAAUCGGCGUUCGGAGAAGAAAACAAGAAAGUCCCUGGUGAAGAGUUCCGAUUGAGGUUGGACCUCCAGUGGGGGUGAGAGAGGACUCAAGGAAGGCCUCUAAAUAGGCCCGGGAUGACCGGAAUCCGAACCGGAGUCGGAUUUCCUCUGGUGAGAUCGGGAGGAAGAAGACUCCCAUCGGUAGUCUUCUCUCCAGGCACGUGUCAAUUUCAUCUUUUUUUUUUUGUUUGUUUUUGGGCCAGAUUCAACAAGGCUGGUCAAAUGGACCAAAGCCCAAUUCACUUAAAGGGCCGGGUAUCACAGUACCUAUUUUAAAAACUAAGGUGACACCUUCUCUAUUUGACCUCUAUAACCAUAUUCUCUAGUUAUGAAACUUUCAGCAGCAGACCCACAUUCUUGGGUAACAAAUGCUAAUUCUUUUGUUUGUAUGACUGUGACUAACAGAUAUAUUUGUUUGAAAGAUCAAAGUAUUUGCAAGAUGUCUUGAUUUUCGAUCUGGAUAGUGAUUUUACCCUUACCUUUUGCACAAGUCUGUAAUUUCGAGAAGACGAAUUUUUAAGUCAAGUUGUUUUCAUAUCUGCUUCAAAAGAAAGUUGAUUGCUGUCUAUUUCUGGAUAAUUGUUGGUGAAUGAGAUCAAGCGACAUUUCCUGUUCCAUCCUUUUAGUUUGGAGCAUUUGUGCUGGAGGCAUUCUUCACUGAAAUGGAGCUUGAAACAACCAGUGGAUCUGAAGAAGACUUGGUUUGUAUAUACUUAAAAUUAUUAUGAGCCUCCGAAGAAAAAUGGAAGCAAAAAACUUCUAUUUGUGCCAGCCACCUUUCCUAUUAGAGACUAAAAUGCUUGGCUUGUCAGACAGACAGAACAACACAACAAAUUAUCACCUAAGGCCUUAUCAAAUUAGUUACGACUUAUUCUAUCAAAUUCAAAAUAUAUGCUUACCUCAUGUUAAUACACAUCACAAAAAUAGAAUCUAGAACUGCGUUUGCUCAAAUAUUUCCAAUACGUGAAACAUGUAAAGCAUGUAUACUGAUUCUAACCUGCAUAGUUCCAUGGUUUUAGAUGCAUAAUAUACAAGCGCACAAGUGGUCCCAAAUAUUUUUCUUUUGUCCUUGGUAAGAAAGAGUUGUCAGCCUUCUAUAACAGAAAAAUUAUCUUGGUUAGUUACUUCUUUUGGGAGAAAUGUCUUGUUGGUCACUUUUAUUUUAUGUUUAUGUGUCAGAUGUCAUCAUCCACUACAUUUUGAGUAUGUUUUUGUUGUGGCUGUCAGCUGGAUGCUAAGCUUUAUAAACUGAUGUUGAAUUGCUGGUCAAAUUAGCUACAACUCUAGUGGGAUUGCUAUGCAGACCAUUUAAGCCAAGCGACUAGGGAGAAACCUAUGGUAACAUACUUGGAAAGUAUUUAGAUGACAAGGGAAGAAAGCAGGGUGAUGUUCAGAGAACUGUAAGUAUUUCAAGAUACAAAUUAUAAAAUAAAGAGCUAAACUAUAUCAUAUUAUCCUCAUUAUCCAUGAAACAUUUAAAGUGAAAAAACCAUUCUCAUAGAACAUAUUAUCAUAAUGCCAUUCUUUGCUGAAAAAAGGAAAAUUAUUAAUUUUAAUUGAAAUUACCAUAAUUUUUUUCUCUUUGAAAAAAUAUUACAAAUUGUUUCCUCCUGAAAAUAUAUCAGCCAGUGGAGUUGUUCAGUAACUAUGCUAAAAGGAAACUAAGCUUUUUUUUGUUCUUGCAUUCAUGUUAUGUCGGAGCAUGAUGAAACCAUCAAUGCAAAGUUCUUGCUAGCAGUGUAUCUCCACUACCCAUUGGUGGCAUACUACGUGGGUCGUAUUAUUUAGUGAUAUAACACCAUGCAUGAUCUCUCAUGCUUGAAGUCAAUCUACCUUUCAACAACCUGUAUGAUAGAUAAUAAGACUUUUUUGGGGGGUUUCAUAAGAGCAGUACCAUAUAGUAACGUUUUUGAUCUCAUGUUUAUUCUUUGCAGCCCAUGCAGUUUAAAUAGCUUCUAUAAUAGUUUGUUGAGUGGAACAGUAGGAUUUUACUUAUAGAACGUCUUUUUCUUUUCUUUUUUGUUUGUCUAUUCAGAUGGAAAGAUCAAUGCACAAGAUGUUUUAUACAACUUUAUUUGGGUCUUAACAGAUAAGUUGUCAUGGUUAUUUAUUAUUUAGGGCUUAUAGAUACCAUUCGUCCCUUAUUGCUAUGUCAUCACCUUUACAAGCACAAGAUGUUGAUGUAAUGUGUUUUCUGUUGUUUUCUAAUUGAACUGCUUAUUCUGUAACAUAAAUUGGCAUACUUUUCCUCUCCCUUUUCCAUUUUCUAUGUACACCCGAAUUGGUCUCUGUGAAGCAUUUACUUUCUUGUUCCAGGAUGCACCUUAAAAGGACCGACACUGAUGUGUUGGGUAACAAUCUGAUACUUGAUUUAUGGUGAAGAUGGAUUAGUUUAUGUUCAGCAAACAUGACCAUCCUUGUUAUAUUGUAAUGCAGUGUGACUACAAGGAGUCUUACAGUAGACAUUCUUCUUCAUCACAUGAGUACUGAACUAUGUCAAACUCAAAGAUGUAAAGCAUAGUUUUACCUCUCCAGGAUAAUAACCUUUUCCUCUAUGUUAAUUUUUUCUAUUUCAUUGAUUCAAUUAAAUCAUCUGGAUAUAAUCUGAAAAAUUAUGUGAUGUAAUUUUCUUUGUAUAUGCUAGUCAUCAGGCAGUGUUUUCUGUUUUAUUGUGGUAAAUGUGUGUUACACCUUUUUUUUGCAUGUAUGUUUUCCUGAUUUAUUUUAGACAGUUGUACAUGUUUUGUUAUUUGUACAGUUUCUCUGUUUUUUUUUUUGUUGUUGUUGUUUGGGUUGGGUUGGGGGCGGUUGCGAAGAGCGUUGUUCACCAGAGUAAAUAUAUGCUUAGCAGUUCCCUUAUUGCCUUAUUGUGGACACAAGGAGAAACACGUGGCAAGUAUGAAUCUGCCAGUAUACAUUACUGGCAUUGGCUUUGUGCUGAAGUAUGCACAGUGUUUGUCCAUUAAGAAGGCGAAAGUAUGCCAAAGGGACACUGUGCACAAAAUCAGCAAGCUGAAGAGAGAUAAAGGAUGUGCAUAGUGUCCCGGUAAGGUUGCAAGGAUUCACAUGUAUCCUGGUUGUUGAUGUAUUGGUAUGAUCACCAUGAAGUGAAUUGUCAGCAUAGGCAUGAGUAGAGUCCAAAUGACUUUUCUUUUUAAUAUUUGAUGCCCAAGGUAGACAUGUCACUAUUUGGAAAUACUUGGAGUUAAUUUACCCCAGAAAAAAAAGAAAAUACUUGGAGUUAACAGUGGAUUGGAAUGGUUGGCGGCCCAUGGGUUAGAAUUUGUGUGGUUUCACUGAAGCCCCCCUUUGGCAUAUCUUAAAAGCUAAGCUUAUAAAAUAUUUUUCCUUUAGAGAUGCUAUAGACAAACAGUAAUUCUGGAAUUUUGUUAUUUAGAUUUAAUCAGCUUUUUCUAAAAAAUUGGCCACUGAACCAUAGGAUAUUAUCUUACAAUUACUUUUCAUGUGGUAUGCUGGUCCACAGGGAAAGCAACGAGAACCAAAGGUGUUGAAUAUCACUUCAUGGAGGGGUUAGAGGCAACAUCGCCUCAGUAUUGGACCGCAUAUAUCAGGCGAUGUGGAGCAGAUUAGACAUGAAUCUGUGGUCGUCUUUUGAGAUGCGAUGUAAAGUAGAAUAUGCUUCUGUUUGUUUUUUCUUUUUGUCUGGUUUCUUUGUUCAAAAGGUAUCAUUUUUUUAAAAAAAAUUGUUCUGGAGAAUAUUUGGGCUAGUAUGUCUAUGGAUAUGGUUAGCACUUAAGCACUGCUCGGUAAUAACUGCCUAAGACUACUAUUAUCAUUAUUGCAAAGUUGUGCACUUACUGAAACCCUAUUUUUUUCCUUCAUUUUUGCAUAAUGUACAUCUCCGGCAUCUGAAACCUUAUUUAAGAAGCAGCCCCCUGCUGCAUGAUAUCAAGGGGCAGACAGACUGCAUCAAGGUUCUAAGAGAAAAAUGAAGACCAUGAGAGGGCAGGUUCUCCUCCAUAUUCCAGCAAAGAAGGCAUGGGAAAUUUUUAGAAAUAACGGGAUCCUAAGCAAGUUAAAUCCAAACAUGCUUGCUAGUGCUGAAUACCUUCAAGGAGAUGGCAGCCCUGGGAGCUUAAGGCUCUUUAAAUUGGGACCUGGUAAAUCCUGAAUCCCCCAUUUAUAUUCUCAUCUAAUUUCUUAUGGAUGACCAGCUGCACUUGCUUCGUGCCAUCUUUACAAUGUUGUCAUCUUUGUUGUAAAUUACGGCAUGAGUGCCUGCAUGAAUUUGUCUUGAACUGAUAUUAAUUUCUAUUACUUGAGAUUGUUUAUCUAAA